rnacentral:rRNA from 1 species
UGGGGAAUAUUGCACAAUGGGCGCAAGCCUGAUGCAGCAACGCCGCGUGAACGAUGAAGGUCUUCGGAUCGUAAAGUUCUGUUGCAGGGGAAGAUAAUGACGGUACCCUGUGAGGAAGCCCCGGCUAACUACGUGCCAGCAGCCGCGGUAAUACGUAGGGGGCUAGCGUUAUCCGGAUUUACUGGGCGUAAAGGGUGCGUAGGUGGUCUUUCAAGUCGGUGGUUAAAGGCUACGGCUCAACCGUAGUUAGCCUCCGAAACUGGAAGACUUGAGUGCAGGAGAGGAAAGUGGAAGUCCCAGUGUAGCGGUGAAAUGCGUAGAUAUUGGGAGGAACGCCAGUAGCGAAGGCGGCUUUCUGGACUGCAACUGACACUGAGGCACGAAAGCGUGGGUAGCAAACAGG